AUGGAGCAGUUUACCACGCUGCUGCUGCUGCCAUACUACCGCUUCGGCUUAUGCCUCUUCUGUGCUCUCUUCCUCUAUGCCGUCCUGCGCGCCGUCUUGGGCGGCGCCCAGCACACGCGGCAUUGGCCUGACCGGGGGCUACCUCCCGGUCCGUGGCAGCUGCCGGUCAUCGGCAGCCUACACCACCUGCUUGGCGGGCUCCCGCACCGCACCAUGCGCGACCUCUCACUCCACUACGGCCCGCUCAUGCUGCUCCGGGUUUGCGAGCGCGUGCUGGUUGUCGUCUCCUCCGCCGAGGCCGUGCGGGACAUCGCCAAGGGCCACGACGUCGCCUUCUCGGAGCGGCUGACCGGCCCGGGCGUCGACGAGCUCACUAGGCACGGCCAGGGGAUCAUGUUCGCGCCCUACGGCGAGCACUGGCGCGUGAUCCGCCGGAUCAUCAUGACGGAGCUGGUCAGCGCGCGCCGUGUCAGGUCGUUCGGGCGCAUCCGCGAGGAGGAGGCUGCCUGCCUCGUCUCGUCGCUACGGGCGGCGACGCCCGGUGCUGGCCCGCAGCUCGUCAACAUCGACGAGCGGCUCGACGAGUUCGUGCUCGAGUCGGUCGUCCGCGCCAUCUACGGGGACAAGCUGCCCGAGCGCACCGCGUUCCACAGGCUGGUCAGGCAAGGAGUGCAACUGUCGUCGCUGUUUGACCUCCGCGAUCUCUUCCCUUCGUCACGGCUGGUGCGGCUUCUGCCGCGGAGAUGCGGCAAGGCCGCGCGUUACCGACAGGAGAUGUCCCGCCUCAUGGAGACCAUCCUCAGGACUCACGAGGAGAGGAGGUCGGCCAGAGUUGACGACGAGCGUGACAUGGUGGACGUGUUGCUGAGGAUCCAGAAGGAAGCCGACAUGCCAAUUUCCAUAACCCACGGCGUCAUAAGAGAAGUGCUCAAGGAUGUAUUCGGUGCGGGGCUUGACACCACAAUGAUUACCCUGCGAUGGGUGAUGGCUGAAUUAAUGGUGAACCCAGGGGUGAUGCAGAAAGCACAAUCAGAGAUACGCCACGUUCUUGCAGGACAGGCCAGAGUACAUGAGGCUGCCCUAAAUGACCUACACUACCUCAGAGCAGUUAUCAAGGAGACCUUGCGGCUGCACCCUCCCGGACCACUCGUACCCAGAAUGUGUUUGCAAGAUUGCAAGAUUCAAGGACACGUCGUGCCACAAGGCGCAAUUGUGGUCACCAACGUAUGGGCAAUAUCUAGGGACCCGAAGUACUGGUAUGAGCCGGAGAAAUUCAUGCCGGAGAGGUUUAAGGCUGACGGUGUUGCGGACUUUAGAGGCACGAACUUCGAGUUCACUCCUUUUGGGGUCGGUCGGAGAAUCUGCCCGGGGAUAGGAUUCGCAAAUGCCAAUAUUGAGAUUGCUCUGGCUAGUCUUCUUUACCAUUAUGAUUGGGAGCUGCCCGCCGGAGUUAACCCUGAGGAAGUAGACAUGACAGAGGUGUUUGGAGCCACAGUUACCAAGAAGGCGGACCUGUAUCUGCAUCCUGUUCCCCGUUUCCCCCUCUAUUAG
rnacentral:rRNA from 1 species